rnacentral:rRNA from 1 species
GACGAACGCUGGCGGCGUGCUUAACACAUGCAAGUCGAGCGGUAAGGCCCUUUCGGGGGUACACGAGCGGCGAACGGGUGAGUAACACGUGGGUGACCUGCCCUCAGCUCUGGGAUAAGCCUGGGAAACCGGGUCUAAUACUGGAUAUGACUCCAUGACGCAUGUUGUGGGGUGGAAAGCCUUGUGCGGCUGAGGAUGGGCCCGCGGCCUAUCAGCUUGUUGGUGGGGUGAGGCCUACCAAGGCGACGACGGGUAGCCGGCCUGAGAGGGCGACCGGCCACACUGGGACUGAGACACGGCCCAGACUCCUACGGGAGGCAGCAGUGGGGAAUAUUGGACAAUGGGGGCAACCCUGAUCCAGCGACGCCGCGUGGGUGAAGAAGGCCUGCGGGUUGUAAAGCCCUUUCGGUGGGGAAGAAAAGUCUCGACCUAAUACGUCGGGACCUUGACGUAACCCACUAAAGAAGCACCGGCUAACUCUGUGCCAGCAGCCGCCGU